GCAGAUGCCGAAGAGGGAAUGAUUUAACAGGGCUGCUCCCGAUAGAGCCGACAACGGGAACCAACCAGGAAUCCACAGGAUCCAGAGCACGCAAUGGUACCAGGAGUCGUGGGAAAGAUUGACGAACGGAGCGUAGAUCGUGAGGAAAGUAAGAAAUCCGGAUUCUCAGCUUAACGAGGCGACCUCCACGGGUACCCCGUCUCCUGCGUCGCUUCCGCAUAUCUGGUGGCAGUGGUAGGGGAUGGCAGCGCAAUGGUACUGCUUCCAGUUCUGUCCUGGUGUGUUCCUUGGCUGGACUCAAGUCAGAAGCAAGGCUCCCUUUGUUCACCUGCAAAGGACGGAUUUCCCAUAAACCCAAGCUGAUCUCAUUCAGACUCACCCAGGAAUCUCACACGUCUUCUCACUCUCCACCAGCCCUGACACCCGAAGCCUUUGCCUGCCUCCCCCGCCUGCAAAUCACAAGGGAAUCACAAUUCUCUGGUGGUAUCCUCCCUCGUCCCUGUGCUUAAAGAAAACUUAUUUUAACGCGUGCCUCUGUCUGAGAAUCCUGUCAAAAUAAAAGCUCC
ensembl:lncRNA